AACGAACGCUGGCGGCAUGCCUAACACAUGCAAGUCGAACGAGACCUUCGGGUCUAGGGGCGCACGGGUGCGUAACGCGUGGGAACCUGCCCUUAGGUUCGGAAUAACUCCCCGAAAGGGGUGCUAAUACCGGAUAAUGUCUUCGGACCAAAGAUUUAUCGCCUUUGGAGGGACCAGCGUUGGAUUAGCUAGUUGGUAGGGUAAAAGCCUACCAAGGCGACGAUCCAUAGCUGGUCUGAGAGGAUGAUCAGCCACACUGGGACUGAGACACGGCCCAGACUCCUACGGGAGGCAGCAGUGGGGAAUAUUGGACCAUGGGCGAAAGCCUGAUCCAGCAAUGCCGCGUGAGUGAUGAAGGCCUUAGGGUUGUAAAGCUCUUUUACCCGGGAUGAUAAUGACAGUACCGGGAGAAUAAGCUCCGGCUAACUCCGUG
rnacentral:rRNA from 1 species